CAGAAAUGAUGAUAUUAACAACUCAACUGUAGCCUCCUACUGCACUGAGCAUGGGAGAGGGUGGGCAUACUCCAGACUCCCUAUCCCUGCUGGGAGACAGGCUGAGACCCAGAACAAAUUCAAAUAGCCUGAUGGAUGUACAAGCUUGGGUACAAACCAGUGGAUUGGAAGGCCAUCUUGGUAUCUUCAUAAGAAGCACUGAACUCUUCCUCAGAGGGGUCAGAAGACCUCAGUUCAGAUCCCAGCUCUGUCCAUAGCUGGUGCCUGGUGCCUAGUAAGAACUGAAUAAAUACUUGUUGAUUUGGCUAGCUAA